UUCUCUCAAUUUUUAGUUUCUUUACGUUAAUUAUUGGCAUUUGGAUUGAUAACCAGAGCUUCUUGUGGAAAUUAUUUAGUUUUUCAUUCCUUUACUCAUCAAUAUUUAGACCCUUUACCCACCCAAAAAAUAUUUAGACCCUUUUUGUUUUUUGUCUCAAUUUUGUUCGUUCGUUGGUAGGCUUAUCUAGAUCACGAUCUUAACAAUUGGAUUGUUCAGUAUAUGAAUUUUAGUAUUGUUUCGAUUGGUGGGUAUGAUUUAGAUUUUGAUAAAUUUGUUUGAAUUUUGCAAAAUUUAUAUGUUUAUUGACCUAUUCUUUGGCAAUUUUGUUGUGUUCAAUUCGUUAAAUUGCCACAAAAAUGAAAUUUUUGGGAAUUCUUCUGAAUUAUUGUUCAUUUGAUCAAUUGGGUCAGUGUUGUUUUGGUGAAUUUUGGUCUGAAUUUGUGAUUUGGUUGUUCAGAGGGGAGGGGUUUGAAUUCAAUUCCUUAGAAAAUGGGGGUUCCCUCGGUCUCAGGUGAGUAUUUGACUUCCCUUGAAUCAGUUUUACUUGAUUGUUCUAUCUCUUUGAAGUAAUGUCAAUAAUUUUCGUUGCUUCAGAGGUUAGUAGGCGUGACUUUUUGCAAUUCUUUUGCUUCUGUAUGUUGAGGAUGACUACUUCAAAGUAUUUUAUCAAGUACAUUGUUAUUGAGUACUCAACAAAAAGAGAAAAAAAGGGAAAAAGUACUUAGUGUUUGACAUUGAUCUGGUUGAUUUAUAUGCUCCGGGGAUUCAAAUGUGUUCUGAAAAUGGAGGGAAAAUUUAGAGAGAUGUUGAUUGGGAUAAUCUGCUUUUGAGGGUAAAAAAUGAAAAGGGCAACGUAUCAUUACACGAGGCCUUGAUGAACGGUCACCAAGUUGUAGCUUAUUAUUUGAUCACGGUAGAUCCAGAAGUGUUAUAUUAUCUGAACAAUGAAGUGAAAUCAGCUCUGUUUCUAGCUGCUGAAGUAGGGUUUUAGGAACUUGUCACGCAUAUUCUAUGUGAUACAGUUGGGAUUGAAAAUACAAAUGAAAGACUUAAAGGGUAAUCACCUAUUCAUGCUGCCAUUUUAAAAAGAAACCGAGGUGUUUUUGAUGCCUUAUUGAAAUCAGAACCAAGGCUCAUUCGAUUAAGAGAUGAAGAAGGAAGGACUCCACUUCACUUGAUUGCAUGAUUGGGCUAUCUUGAAGAGGUUCAAUACUUGUUAGGAAGGCAGAGUUCAGGUGCUAUUGCCAGGGACAACAAUGGCUUACUUCCUAUUCAUUUAGCAUCAAUUAAAGGCCAUGUUGAUGUUGUCCGGGCGUUGCUUCAGUAUUGGCCUGAUUCGAGGGAACUGCUCAACUGUCAUGGUCAAAAUAUUCUUCAUGUUGCAGCCAAGAGCAGAGGACAUAACAUGGUUAGUUACAUUCUCCAAACUCCUGAGGUCGAGAAGUUUUAUAAACAUGAGGGAUAAGCAUGGAAACACAACCUUGCAUUUGGCCACCUUGGAUUGGCAUCCAAAGAUUGUUAGUACCCUAACAUGGGAUGAAAGAGUGGACUUAUAGUGAAUAAUGAGGGUAUGUCUACUCUUGAUUCUGCUGAAUACUACAUGGAAAGAAUGUCCUCAUUUCGAAAGGUGGUCAUAGUUUAAAUUUGUGGGACAUUUUUAUCUUGCGACGGUUAACAUGGACUGCAUUGAUGGCCGCUGGUGCACCACUAGCUUACUGUAGAAAAGCCGUCAAUGCUAAAAAGAAACAAGCAUCUAUGCAACUGGAGCAAGUGAACAUAGACAGCUAUAAGGACCGAUUCAACACUCUUCUAUUGGUGUCCACCCUCAUUGCCACUGUAACUUUUGCAGCUGGUUGCACAAUACCCUAUGGUUAUAACAACAUUGAACCUGACCAAGGCAUGCCAACUAUGCUAAAACACAAGUGGUUUCACAUAUUCAUUUUCUGUGACACCAUAGCUCCAUUAUUACUGCUGUUACCCUCAUAUGGGCAGAAUUAGGGGACCUCAAUUUGGUGCUUACUGCCUACAGAUUGGCGACACUGCCACUACUGGGGAUCACUCUCACCAAAGCAAGGAGGAAAUGAUAUCAACAAAGAUAUUUCCUCAUUUAAUUUAUUUGAUUUGUUGGUUAAUUGGGUUCCUUUUGUUUGCUUUUGGUCUUAUAUGUUGGUAUCUAAGUAGCUUGCCAGCAAGUACGUAAUUGUACGUAAUGUUUUGAUGUUUUAGUGUUUUACAGUUAAUGUGGCUGUUAUAUGUUGGAGAUGAGUGGUUUUGUUCU